AAACCAUGCUGUGGGCACUUCCACAAGAGAUUUUUGAAUCGCUCCGUGUCUCAAAUAAGGAUUCAAGCACCAUCUGAAAAAAUGACGAUAUUUCAUUACGAAGUUU